UGUCCCUGAUCUGGGUAGAGUUACACCUGGCUUGGUGGUGCUUGUCUCAUAUCAGCCACAGACAAAGUAACUCCUUGUUUAUCCCAGGUUGGGUUUUGGUCUGUGCCCUGGUUCAUGCCUUAGACACAUGG